rnacentral:lncRNA from 1 species
AGGUGAUGUCCUGUCACCUGAGCAAGAUAGGUGGACACCUGAAAAGGUUGGCUAUAUAUGCUAUCAUGGAAAUAACCAAGUGAUGAGGAUGUAUAAUUGGAGACCGGGCGGGACGAUGAUAGAGAAGUAACAAGACAUGGAGGUCUUGGGUGCCUAUCUAUCCCCGCCUGUGUCGAUUAAGGACCGAUCGUUGACGGCCCUCUUGUCAUGUUGAACGCAUGCCCCACACUUAGCUGGAAGGAUAAGUCGUUCCGACCGCGAAGCCUGAACACUAUCCGGGCCG